UGUAUGGUGGUGCAGUUGGUAGCACUGGUGCCUUGCAUCAAGAAGAAGAAGUAGGUCCUGGGUUCGACUCCUGGCCAGGGGUCUUUCUACAU